rnacentral:rRNA from 1 species
GGGUUGUGAGGUUAAGCGACUAAGCGUACACGGUGGAUGCCCUGGCAGUCAGAGGCGAUGAAGGACGUGCUAAUCUGCGAAAAGCGUCGGUAAGGUGAUAUGAACCGUUACAGCCGGCGAUGUCCGAAUGGGGAAACCCAGUGCAAUUCGUUGCACUAUCGUUUGAUGAAUACAUAGUCAAACGAGGCGAACCGGGGGAACUGAAACAUCUAAGUACCCCGAGGAAAAGAAAUCAACCGAGAUUCCCCCAGUAGCGGCGAGCGAACGGGGAGCAGCCCGGAGUCUGAAUCAGCUUGUGUGUUAGUGGAAGCGUCUGGAAAGUCGCAGGGUACAGGGUGAUACUCCCGUACACUAAAACGCACAGGUUGUGAACUCGAAGAGUAGGGCGGGACACGUGGUAUCCUGUCUGAAUAUGGGGGGACCAUCCUCCAAGGCUAAAUACUCCUGACUGACCGAUAGUGAACCAGUACCGUGAGGGAAAGGCGAAAAGAACCCCGGCGAGGGGAGUGAAAAAGAACCUGAAACCGUGUACGUACAAGCAGUAGGAGCCCACUAGUUGGGUGACUGCGUACCUUUUGUAUAAUGGGUCAGCGACUUAUAUUCUGUAGCAAGGUUAACCGUAUAGGGGAGCCGCAGGGAAACCGAGUCUUAACUGGGCGUUAAGUUGCAGGGUAUAGACCCGAAACCCGGUGAUCUAGCCAUGGGCAGGUUGAAGGUUGGGUAACACUAACUGGAGGACCGAACCGACUAAUGUUGAAAAAUUAGCGGAUGACUUGUGGCUGGGGGUGAAAGGCCAAUCAAACCGGGAGAUAGCUGGUUCUCCCCGAAAGCUAUUUAGGUAGCGCCUCGUGAACUCAUCUUCGGGGGUAGAGCACUGUUUCGGCUAGGGGGUCAUCCCGACUUACCAACCCGAUGCAAACUACGAAUACCGAAGAAUGUUAUCACGGGAGACACACGGCGGGUGCUAACGUCCGUCGUGAAGAGGGAAACAACCCAGACCGCCAGCUAAGGUCCCAAAGUCAUGGUUAAGUGGGAAACGAUGUGGGAAGGCCCAGACAGCCAGGAUGUUGGCUUAGAAGCAGCCAUCAUUUAAAGAAAGCGUAAUAGCUCACUGGUCGAGUCGGCCUGCGCGGAAGAUGUAACGGGGCUAAACCAUGCACCGAAGCUGCGGCAGCGACACUAUGUGUUGUUGGGUAGGGGAGCGUUCUGUAAGCCGUUGAAGGUGGCCUGUGAGGGUUGCUGGAGGUAUCAGAAGUGCGAAUGCUGACAUAAGUAACGAUAAUGCGGGUGAAAAACCCGCACGCCGGAAGACCAAGGGUUCCUGUCCAACGUUAAUCGGGGCAGGGUGAGUCGACCCCUAAGGCGAGGCCGAAAGGCGUAGUCGAUGGGAAACAGGUUAAUAUUCCUGUACUCGGUGUUACUGCGAAGGGGGGACGGAGAAGGCUAUGUUGGCCGGGCGACGGUUGUCCCGGUUUAAGCAUGUAGGCGGAUGUUCCAGGUAAAUCCGGAACGUUACUAACGCUGAGGUGUGAUGACGAGGCACUACGGUGCUGAAGUGACAAAUGCCCUGCUUCCAGGAAAAGCCUCUAAGCAUCAGGUAACAUCAAAUCGUACCCCAAACCGACACAGGUGGUCAGGUAGAGAAUACCAAGGCGCUUGAGAGAACUCGGGUGAAGGAACUAGGCAAAAUGGUGCCGUAACUUCGGGAGAAGGCACGCUGAUGGUAAGUGAAGCGACUUGCUCGUGGAGCUGAAAUCAGUCGAAGAUACCAGCUGGCUGCAACUGUUUAUUAAAAACACAGCACUGUGCAAACACGAAAGUGGACGUAUACGGUGUGACGCCUGCCCGGUGCCGGAAGGUUAAUUGAUGGGGUUAUCCGUAAGGAGAAGCUCUUGAUCGAAGCCCCGGUAAACGGCGGCCGUAACUAUAACGGUCCUAAGGUAGCGAAAUUCCUUGUCGGGUAAGUUCCGACCUGCACGAAUGGCGUAAUGAUGGCCAGGCUGUCUCCACCCGAGACUCAGUGAAAUUGAACUCGCUGUGAAGAUGCAGUGUACCCGCGGCAAGACGGAAAGACCCCGUGAACCUUUACUAUAGCUUGACACUGAACACUGGUCCUUGAUGUGUAGGAUAGGUGGGAGGCUUUGAAGUGUGGACGCCAGUCUGCAUGGAGCCAUCCUUGAAAUACCACCCUUUAAUGGCUGGUGUUCUAACGUGGGCCCCUAAUCGGGGUUGCGGACAGUGUCUGGUGGGUAGUUUGACUGGGGCGGUCUCCUCCUAAAGAGUAACGGAGGAGCACGAAGGUCAGCUAAUCCUGGUCGGACAUCAGGAGGUUAGUGCAAUGGCAUAAGCUGGCUUGACUGCGAGCGUGACGGCGCGAGCAGGUGCGAAAGCAGGUCAUAGUGAUCCGGUGGUUCUGAAUGGAAGGGCCAUCGCUCAACGGAUAAAAGGUACUCCGGGGAUAACAGGCUGAUACCGCCCAAGAGUUCAUAUCGACGGCGGUGUUUGGCACCUCGAUGUCGGCUCAUCACAUCCUGGGGCUGAAGUAGGUCCCAAGGGUAUGGCUGUUCGCCAUUUAAAGUGGUACGCGAGCUGGGUUUAGAACGUCGUGAGACAGUUCGGUCCCUAUCUGCCGUGGGCGCUGGAGAAUUGAGGGGGGCUGCUCCUAGUACGAGAGGACCGGAGUGGACGCAUCACUGGUGUUCGGGUUGUCAUGCCAAUGGCAUUGCCCGGUAGCUAAAUGCGGAAGAGAUAAGUGCUGAAAGCAUCUAAGCACGAAACUUGCCCCGAGAUGAGUUCUCCCUGACCCUUUAAGGGUCCUGAAGGAACGUUGAAGACGACGACGUUGAUAGGCCGGGUGUGUAAGCGCAGCGAUGCGUUGAGCUAACCGGUACUAAUGAACCGUGAGGCUUAACCUUACAACGCCGAAG